GCCCGCUUAGCUCAGAGGUUAGAGCAUCGC
rnacentral:tRNA from 4 species